GAUUUUCACAUUUCUUUAUUUAGUUAACUAUUAAAUAAGUAAACAUUACAUUACAUUUAACCCAGCUUCUUUAUGUAACGUUAUGUCUGUGUUGCGUGUGGUAUUUGGAACAUCUUUAUUUUCUGACUAACGUUAGGCAUUUCUCUUAAGCAUUUCAGAAAUCAUUAAAACCUUUCAUUUUUUUUAGCACAGCGACAUAAAUAUGACCAACCAGAUCCCAAGUAGACAGGAACAAAUGAAGAUAUAGCGCAUAGAAAGACUUAUUCUUGGUGAUCAACUGCUAUUGACAUUUUUGAAUCGGGGCAAAUGUGGAGUGAAGAAAAACGUUUGCAACACAUCCAUUCCAGAGUGCUCUGACAGAUAAAACUGACACGCUUGAUGAGGACACAGUCAAGCUUUA